AGGGAACCCACGCCCUGCGCAGGUUCCCUCCUGACCUACCACCCCCAAUUUCCCACCAGAUGCAGGUGCAGAGGAUGCCCGGAGGCUGCCUCCCGGGCAGCGGGCGGGGACGGAGCCAGCGGCUGACCUCAGGGUGUGCGCCCUCCCCGGGCUCCUGAUGGAGACCGGCCGUGGAGACGGGAUCGGGGCUUUAGACGUGGACUCGCAGGGCGGGGCGGGCGGUCGGCAGGUUCCAGGAUCCGGAUGUUCUCCUGGAGCGGCUUUCAUCCGUGCUCACCUAUCUCACACUCACAUUCACCCGGAACAGCAGUCACCACGUCUCUCUCCGCGUUUCAGCCCGACUGCCCGACCGGGCCUGAGUCAGGAAAGGGUGGGGGCGCUGAAAUAGUCCCCUCUCCCAGCCUUUAGGGAAGAAAGUGAAAAAGGAAGCGGACAGGGGCUGGCUGGAAAAGAAGACUUUGCCUAGACUCGACCCACCUAGCCUGACGGAGAUCUUGAGGACCAGGAAGAUACCUACCUCCUGGGAUUCGGAGGCUCGACGGAUUGAGUGCGGGAAAGCACAGACAGACGCCUGGCACGUGGCAGACCCGGUACUCGGCUUACAGCUUACAGACUGCCCGAAACCUCUUCUACGCCCCCACCCCCCGCCCCCAGAGGUCCUCUGCUUUUCCCUGCCUCCACCCCCCAACUAUGACAGCGAUCCUCACAUCCCCUAAGGGGACCCUCCCUGCCCCACAUCCUUGCUUGGCCAGAGCUUCCUCACCUGACCUCCACCCCUGUGCCCCAUAGAGCAGUCCAGCCUCCAGGACGUGGAUGGGGGUGGCCAGGCCGCCCGGCUGGAACUCAGCACUCGGUGCUCCCUCCCCUCCACCCGGGUCCCCCGUUUUGCCCUCACUCCCGUAUCCGUUCCCCUUCUCCUGCCCCCCAUGUCAGGUCAGGGUGACAACAAGUGUUGCUGAGUGGGCAUUGAGUGGGCAUUCGUUGCCUUCCCAGCUCUGUGCCCAGCACUCUCCUCCCCAUCAUCCUCAAAUAGCCCCCAUAACCGGGGGCUCCAUUCUGGGGCGGUUCUCUCUCUUUGCCCCCCCCCAAAAACAGCUAAAGUUAACAGUGUGUUGCUGUGAAAAUCAAAAGCAAUAAGAACAGAGGAGACAGAUGAGCAUUUAAUGGGGUGACCAACAUCCCUGGAUUUGCCCAAGAUUAAGGGCUUUCCCGUGACACUUGCAUGGCUAAGCCUGGGAGAAUCCCUGGCAAAUGGGGCUGGCUGGUCACUCCAACAGUCCGGUCAUCCAGAAGCCCCCUGAUGCUGCUGUAACAGUGGCUCCACAGCUUUGAAGUCACCAUUUUGGGAGGGAACUUAACUCUUCUGAGCCUCGGUCUCCUCAUCUGUAAAAUGAGGAUAGACUUCAUAAGACCAUCAUUGGGAGGAUGUUGGUGUGUCAACAGCAAGCCCCGGAGAGGCUCCAGGCUCCGCUUGCCAGCUGGGGAUGUGGCCCCAUCCCCGGCUGGCGGCUCAUUCUGGCCACUCCAACCCCCCCAACCCCAGCUGCCUCACCCAUCACAUCAGAUGGGCAGGGACGUAAAUAAGUGACCUAAUCUUGCCUUUCAAGGAAGACUAAGCCCUCAGGAGACACGGGUCGCCUCCCCUCUCCCACUUUCACCUGCCCCCGUCUUGCGUGUGUUUUCGUGCUGAGUCAGUUUGGUCGUGUCAGACUCUUUGCAACCCCGUGGACUGUAGCCUGCCAGGCUCUUCUGUCCAUGCGAUUCUCCAGGCAAGAAUACUGGAGUGGGUUGCCAUGCCCUCUUCCAGAGGAUCUUCCUGACCCAGGGAUCGAAACCGCAUCUCUUGAGUCUCCUGCACUGGCAGGCGGGUUCUUUAUAACUAGCACCACCUGGGAAGUCUCAGGAAAAAGGAAAGAAAAAGGAAAGAGUUGGCUCCAAAUGAAGACUUUGCUUCCACUCCACUGACCACACCGUGCAGGCCUUGGUUGUCUGACCCCACAAAGGAGCAACCGCCCUGGCUGUUGGUCUCCAAGGCCUCUAUGUGAAGGGUCUACUUCUGCCCCAGCCAUGGACCCGGAAGCCAGGGGCUCCCACUCUUCUCUCUGAUGCUGUCAUCACCACCCACGCUCCCGAGAGAACUGACCGCACCGCAGAGGA
ensembl:lncRNA